rnacentral:rRNA from 1 species
GAACGCUGGCGGCGUGCCUAAUACAUGCAAGUCGAACGGUCUUUCUAUGGAAGCUUGCUUCCACUGAGAAGAUAGUGGCGAACGGGUGAGUAACACGUGGGUAACCUGCCCAUAAGAGGGGGAUAACAUCCGGAAACGGGUGCUAAUACCGCAUAGUUUUCUUGAUCGCAUGAUCGGGAAAGGAAAGACGGCCUUUGUGCUGUCGCUUAUGGAUGGACCCGCGGCGUAUUAGUUAGUUGGUGAGGUAACGGCUCACCAAGACGAUGAUACGUAGCCGACCUGAGAGGGUGAUCGGCCACAUUGGGACUGAGACACGGCCCAAACUCCUACGGGAGGCAGCAGUAGGGAAUCUUCCGCAAUGGACGAAAGUCUGACGGAGCAACGCCGCGUGAGUGAAGAAGGUUUUCGGAAUCGUAAAACUCUGUUGUCAGAGAAGAACAAGUUGGAGAGCAACUGCUCCAGCCUUGGCGGUAUCUGACCAGAAAGCCACGGCUAACUACGUGCCAGCAGCAGC